UCCUGGGUCCUCUCAUGGCCUAAUGCUCUUUAUCCCGCUCAUGCGACAAACGUGGCCAGCGAGCUGUGAUCAAACCAUGCUUUCAUCCCUCCUCUUCGUCUUUCCUUCUCUCAUCAGCUGGAAAGCUUCAGCAGCAGGAUGCCGCAGAUUAACAAACCACCUCCCUCCUCCCAUCCAGUGCAGAGGAUGCUCCCUCUUUGACAACGAACCUCUACUGCUACCUUCUGGCCGCAGCUAAAAUAACAGCCAGAUCUUGUGGUGUCAACCUAGUGAAAGCAUGCCCAAAUAAACUACAGUAUUCAAGA